UUUCCGUAGGUGAACCUGCGGAAGGAUCAUUACUGAGUGAGGGCCCCUCGGGGUCCAACCUCCCACCCGUGUUUAACGAACCUUGUUGCUUCGGCGGGCCCGCCUCACGGCCGCCGGGGGGCAUUUGCCCCCGGGCCCGCGCCCGCCCACGCCACUUGUGAACGCUGUCUGUAGUAUGCAGUCUGAGACAAUUAAUAAAUUAAUUAAAACUUUCAACAACGGAUCUCUUGGUUCCG
rnacentral:misc_RNA from 1 species